UCUGGCUUCUGCCCGAGUUGUAAUUUGCAGAGGAUGUUUCUGGCGCGGUGCCUUCCGAGUUCCCUGGAACGGGACGCCACAGAGGGUGAGAGCCCCGUAUGGUUGGACACCAAGCCUGUGUGAAACUCCUUCAACGAGUCGAGUAGUUUGGGAAUGCUGCUCUAAAUGGGAGGUAAAUCUCUUCUAAAGCUAAAUACCGGCCAGAGACCGAUAGCGCACAAGUAGAGUGAUCGAAAGAUGAAAAGCACCUUGAAAAGGGGGUUAAAUAGUACGUGAAAUUGUUGAAAGGGAAGCACUUAUGACCAGACUUGGGCCGGGCGGCUCAUCAGGGGUUCUCCCCUGUGCACUCCGCCCGGCACAGGCCAGCAUCGGUUCUCGUGGGGGGAUAAGACCGUCAGGAACGUAGCACCCUCCGGGGUGUGUUAUAGCCUGGCGGACGAUACCCCCGUGGGGACCGAGGUCCGCGCUCCGCAAGGAUGCUGGCGUAAUGGUCAUCAGUGACCCGUCUUGAAACACGGACCAAGGAGUCGUCCAUUAGAGCGAGCGUUUGGGUGUAAAACCCGCACGCGUAAUGAAAGUGAACGCAGGUGAGAGCUCCGGCGCAUCAUCGACCGAUCCUGAUGUUCUCGGAAGGAUUUGAGUAAGAGUUUUAACGGACGGACCCGAAAGACAGUGAACUAUGCUUGUAUAGGGGAAGCCAGAGGAAAUU
rnacentral:rRNA from 1 species